rnacentral:rRNA from 1 species
AUUGAACGCUGGCGGCAUGCUUUACACAUGCAAGUCGAACGGUAACAGGGAGCUUGCUCCGCUGACGAGUGGCGAACGGGUGAGUAAUGCAUCGGAACGUGCCGUGUAAUGGGGGAUAACGUAGCGAAAGUUACGCUAAUACCGCAUACGCCCUGAGGGGGAAAGCGGGGGAGUCGUAAGACCUCGCGUUAUACGAGCGGCCGAUGUCGGAUUAGCUAGUUGGUGGGGUAAAGGCCUACCAAGGCGACGAUCCGUAGCGGGUCUGAGAGGAUGAUCCGCCACACUGGGACUGAGACACGGCCCAGACUCCUACGGGAGGCAGCAGUGGGGAAUUUUGGACAAUGGGGGCAACCCUGAUCCAGCCAUGCCGCGUGAGUGAAGAAGGCC